rnacentral:rRNA from 1 species
UACGUAGGGUGCAAGCGUUGUCCGGAAUUAUUGGGCGUAAAGAGCUCGUAGGCGGUUUUGUUGCGUCGGCUGUGAAAUCCCGAGGCUCAACCUCGGGUCUGCAGUCGAUACGAGCAAACUAGAGUGUUGCAGGGGAGACUGGAAUUCCUGGUGUAGCGGUGAAAUGCGCAGAUAUCAGGAGGGACACCGGUGGCGAAGGCGGGGUCUCUGGGCAACAACUGACGUGGAGGAGCGAAAAGCGUGGGGAGCGAACAGG